rnacentral:lncRNA from 1 species
GGAGGGAGAUGUUAGGUGUGACGGUGUCCCCCACCUUAAUAUAUUCAGAAAUAUAAUGUACAGUGGUCAGAGCUUGUGUUACAAAAGUCCAGUGGUGCAUUUAAGGAUCUUAGACCCAAAAAAGCCCUAUGAAAAAAACAUCAAAGAGGAGAUUAGGAGGUUUGGCUGGAUGCUUGUUUGUACAAGGUAAGAGGUAUAAGUAUGAGAACUCAUGCGGAUACGCAUUUAGUCCCAUAUUGACUCCUCCCUUGGUAAAUUUUGAUAAUAUAUAGGACUAAGAAAUCUAAAUUAUCUUUUGGGCUAGCUUUUUAGGUAAGAUCCUCGAUCGUUACAAGUAG